rnacentral:rRNA from 1 species
CCUACGGGGGGCUGCAGUGGGGAAUAUUGGACAAUGGACCAAAAGUCUGAUCCAGCAAUUCUGUGUGCACGAUGAAGGUCUUCGGAUUGUAAAGUGCUUUCAGGUGGGAAGAAGAAAGUGACGGUACCACCAGAAGAAGCGACGGCUAAAUACGUGCCAGCAGCCGCGGUAAUACGUAUGUCGCAAGCGUUAUCCGGAAUUAUUGGGCGUAAAGCGAGUCUAGGCGGCUUGUUAAGUCAGAUGUGAAAAUGCGGGGCUCAACUCCGUAUUGCGUUUGAAACUGGCAGGCUAGAGUACUGGAGAGGUGGGCGGAACUACAAGUGUAGAGGUGAAAUUCGUAGAUAUUUGUAGGAAUGCCGAUAGUGAAGACAGCUCACUGGACAGAUACUGACGCUAAAGCUCGAAAGCGUGGGGAGCGAACAGGAUUAGAUACCCCUGUAGUC